GGCCCUGAGGGGGUUACUGUUGAAGUUGAAUGGCUUGUUUUAGCAGUUAAAUGGGUUGAUGAAAACUCUCCCCAGCUAAGAAUGCUUCUUUAAUGUUGAAAUGGAGUGACAGAAAUAAAGAAUGCUAUGAGUUUGAGUGGGUGUUACUCAUCCAAUGCUUUGGGGUGUGUGCAUAGAGUCUAAACACAACAGCCUAUAAGUACGCACAUCUCUGAUGCACACUCACAGUUCCUGACUGACAAACAAGAAACAUGGACAAGAACGUGGACAUGAUUAUCGACAAGGCUGCUGGGGUGGCCAAGGAGAAAGUUGGAGCAAUGAUCGGAGGAGACAAGAAAAAGGCAGGAGCUGCAAAAGAACAGGGGGAAGGAGGCAUCGGCGGUAUGUUGAGCGGUGCGGUCGGCAAGGCUGCAACAGACGCUGCAGGCAAUAAGGCAGCCGAGCAGGCGCUGGCCUUUGGGAAAGGCCUGUUGAAGUAAAAUUGAAUAUUUUAAACAUGAACUUUUACUAUCUCACUCACAGCUGUCUGCCAACUGGACCCCAUCCAUCUGCAAUUAUACUCUAACUUUCAACAUUGAAUAAUACUGUAUGUAUCUCCAGCAGUCUAGAAAUGAUGCCUGAAGCAGAUAACUUUCUGUAUACGUCUGUUUUGCACCUUUUUGAGCUCUGUAACUUAAAAAAUGUUAAAGUUAUUUGUAUAAAAAAAACUUUCAGAAAUAAAUUAUGGAAUAUUUAGAUGAUGUUAAUAAAACUAUCAGUGAAAGAAAUAAUUAAAGAGCAAUUGCUGUUAGUGGUUGAGUUUGUUCAAGUUUGUUUAUAUAUUUUAACCAUCUUUUGAAAUGUUUGACAUGAUUUCUGAAAUUGUCAAACUGGAUAAAAUGUUUUAAAAUGAGAGAAACAUCAUGGAAUCAAUAAAAUCCAUUGCUAACACUCA